rnacentral:rRNA from 1 species
GAUGAACGCUAGCGGCGGGCUUAAUACAUGCAAGUCGAGGGGCAGCACGAUGUAGCAAUACAUUGGUGGCGACCGGCGGACGGGUGCGUAAACCGUAUGCAACUUACCCUAUACUGGGGGAUAGACCGGAGAAAUACGGAUUAAUACCCCAUAACCUCAGAACAAGCAUUUGUUUUGGUUGAAAGUUCACGCGGUAUAGGAUAGGCGUGCGUUCGAUUAGCUUGUUGGGGAGGUAAAGGCUCACCAAGGCGACGAUCGAUAGGGGGCCUGGGAGGGUGAUCCCCCACACUGGUACUGAGACACGGACCAGACUCCUACGGGAGGCAGCAGUAAGGAAUAUUGGUCAAUGGGCGAAAGCCUGAACCAGCCACGCCGCGUGAAGGAUGAAGGCCCUAUGGGUUGUAAACUUCUUUUCUACGGGAAUAAACCUCGGGACGUGUCCCGAGCUGAAGGUAUCGUAGGAAUAAGCAUCGGCUAACUCCGUGCCAGCCGCCGCCGUAACAC